GGGUCUUGGAUUACCAGUCCACCCAGUGAACUUGGGCCAGGUCAAAAAUCCCAGUGGCAAAAACUCAUAAUUGAGAAAAAAAGCACAUCUGGGUAAAUUCUAAGUGAGGGCCAUGACUGUGUAAACAUGUCAUCCCCUCACAUUGACAGCAUUAGUGACUUAUAAAACCUGCACUAUGUAAGUAAAUAGCUCAGGUAUCGGGAUUGGGAAACACUUCUUGAUUAGUUUGAAAAGGCCCACUUACAUAUUAAAUCAUAAGAUCAUUUCUAAUCAGUUUGUAAUUCUAGCAAUAAUCCCAAUCAUGACCUUGCGUCCUAUGCCUCCUAAUCAAAUCCCUAUUUCGAUAGUCCAGUCAUAUCCACACUUAAUACAUUGGAAU
rnacentral:lncRNA from 1 species